GAUGCGGCAUGAGUUUGCCAAAGUCCACCUUUUUGCAGAGGGGGCCCCCAAAGGAUAUAUGUCCAGCAGCUGGGAUGGGUGGAUGGGAGCCGGCAGAUAUAUUAGCACCCGAUUGAUGCAGAACCAUGAAAGCGUUCGGACCACAGCUGCUUCUCCUGCUGGCGCUACUAGGAUUCAUCGCUGGACAGGAGAUGGGGAUCCCACUGAACACACGGACCUGUGCCAGUUGGAGAGGUCUCUGCCGUCGCUCCUGCCUGGCUUAUGAGAUCCACCUGGGUGUUCACGGCUGCCCACGUCACUAUAGAUGCUGUGUGCUGAGAACCUAGCACAGACAAGGAAAUCCAUCACUCCAGCAAAGGGAAGGAUGUUCCGUCUACAUGCUGAUCAGAAGAAGAGUGGCCCCUUUUAUAGACAGCAUUUGCAAUACAGUGGUACCUUGGUUCUCAAACUUGAUCCGUUCCGCAAGUCCGUUCCAAAACCAAAAGCGUUCCA